rnacentral:rRNA from 1 species
AUUGAACGCUGGCGGCCGGCCUAACACAUGCAAGUCGAGCGAGCGGCGGACGGGUGAGUAAUGUCUGGGAAACUGCCUGAUGGAGGGGGAUAACUACUGGAAACGGUAGCUAAUACCGCAUACCAUCAGAUGUGCCCAGAUGGGAUUAGCUAUGAGGUGGGGUAACGGCUCACCUGGGCGCCGCUCCCUAGCUGGUCUGAGAGGAUGACCAGCCACACUGGAACUGAGAAACGGUCCAGACGCCUACGGGAGGCAGCAGUGGGGAAUAUUGCACAAUGGGCGCAAGCCUGAUGCAGCCAUGCCGCGUGUGUGAAGAAGGCCUUCGGGUUGUAAAGCACUUUAAGCGGGGAGGCGUUACCCGCAGAAGAAGCACCGGCUAACUCCGUGCCAGCAGCCGCGGUAAUUC